rnacentral:rRNA from 1 species
UACGUAGGCAGCGAGCGUUGUUCGGAGUUACUGGGCGUAAAGAGUGCGUAGGCGGUUUUCUAAGUUUGGUGUGAAAUCUCCCGGCUUAACCGGGAGGGUGCGCCGAAGACUGGGAGGCUGGAGUAUGGGAGAGGUAAGCGGAAUUCCUGGUGUAGCGGUGAAAUGCGUAGAUAUCAGGAGGAACACCUGCGGUGUAGACGGCUUACUGGACCACCACUGACGCUGAGGCACGAAAGCGUGGGUAGCAAACAGG